rnacentral:lncRNA from 1 species
UAAUCAAAUGGUAUAAUUAUCAAAUGGGAUAUGUAUAAGCAUUUAUAAAACUAAUAGUGUUUAUGUGACUAUUUAAACAAAUUAAUUUAUGAGGUUUGGGCGACUUUUUCCUUUAUUUUUUUAUUAAUUAAUUUGAACAGCUAAUUUGUCUAAGCAACUGUUGGGUUAUCAUAGAUUUAAGUUAAGUUAAAAUUUGAUCUCUAUUAAAAAUUAUAUUUAUUUUAGAUCUCAUUUCUGUUUAUUUACUUCAUGGAUUGGAUCAAAAUGAAAAAAAAAAAAAGAGCUAAUCCGUAAAACUGUAGAUUAAAUGUGAAUUUUGAUAAAAUUCACGUCUCAUGUACAAACGUAUGGAUCGACUACGGAUUGAAUUUCAUUAAUUUAUGAAUUAAAUUGGACCGAAAUUUUAUAACCUGUCAAUUGAUUGUGAAUCCUAAUCUAACCCACAGAAUCUGAGUUGUUUAGCAGAGAAAAGCCAUUAUAAGCCCAAUUUCAUGCCGCCACUUGGAACUUCAAAGUAGAAUCCACACGCCUAACCACACAAUUAGCAUAUUUUAAACACUUGGACUCUACCAAUGUCAACACUGUUAGGUUUUAAGCACUAAUUAACUAAUGCCCACAAUUAAUGGCUUUUGUGGUAAUAACUAAAUUACAAAAAAGCCAUCCUAUGGACACAUAAUCUCCAUGGCAGUUUCUUCAUGUAUAAGUUCUUCGGGCUUAUAGGACAUAGGUUGACAGGUCAACCUACAUCUGUUAUCUGCAUGCAUUAUUUCAAGUAUUAUUAUAAUCACUUUUGUUUAAUCCAGAUGAGUUUUUUUUUUUUUUUGAUUACUUAUCCUGAUGAGUUGAACAGAAUCUAUAUUGUUAAAUUUUUAAAUUUCACUGCUAGUAAACAUCUUUAUAAAAUUAGUGAGAAAUAUUGACUCGAUCAAACUUAAUUCUCACCAAUUAACAACUCAAACAAUACAAUAUUUAGAAUAUGAAAUUACAAUUUACUCAAAAUUGAGAUUAAAGUAAAAUUACUGCCCAUAAGUAAGUUUGGUAAUGCUAUAUCUUUUAAAAUGAAUGAUGUUAAUUGCGCUUUAAAAAUAAUCAGCUGCGAAGAUAAUUAGUUAAACACUUGAUAAAAUUUAUUUUUACAAGUCUUGUGAGUUUCAAAAGCAAUUGGAUGUAUUUAGUAAAUCUUAUUGUUAAACUGCUAUAAGAAUGUUAAUAAUUAAAAUGAACAAAAUAUUGAAAAAAUUUAUUUACACAUU